rnacentral:rRNA from 1 species
AUUGAACGCUGGCGGCAGGCCUAACACAUGCAAGUCGAACGGUAACAGGAAGAAGCUUGCUUCUUUGCUGACGAGUGGCGGACGGGUGAGUAAUGUCUGGGAAACUUCCUGAUGGAGGGGGAUAACUACUGGAAACGGUAGCUACUACCGCAUAACGUCGCAAGACCAAAGAGGGGGACCUUCGGGCCUCUUGCCAUCGGAUGUGCCCAGAUGGGAUUAGCUAGUAGGUGGGGUAACGGCUCACCUAGGCGACGAUCCCUAGCUGGUCUGAGAGGAUGACCAGCCACACUGGAACUGAGACACGGUCCAGACUCCUACGGGAGGCAGCAGUGGGGAAUAUUGCACAAUGGGCGCAAGCCUGAUGCAGCCAUGCCGCGUGUAUGAAGAAGGCCUUCGGGUUGUAAAGUACUUUCAGCGGGGAGGAAGGGAGUAAAGUUAAUACCUUGGCUCAUUGACGUUACCCGCAGAAGAAGCACCGGCUAACUCCGUG